AUUUAUAUAAUAUAAUUAGUAUACUAAAUUUCCAAUUUAAAAGUUUUAACAAUAUAAAUA
rnacentral:tRNA from 1 species